rnacentral:rRNA from 1 species
UUUAUGGAGAGUUUGAUCCUGGCUCAGGAUGAACGCUGGCGGCGUGCCUAAUACAUGCAAGUCGAGCGAACAGACGAGAAGCUUGCUUCUCUGAUGUUAGCGGCGGACGGGUGAGUAACACGUGGAUAACCUACCUAUAAGACUGGGAUAACUUCGGGAAACCGGAGCUAAUACCGGAUAAUAUUUUGAACCGCAUGGUUCAAAAGUGAAAGACGGUCUUGCUGUCACUUAUAGAUGGAUCCGCGCUGCAUUAGCUAGUUGGUAAGGUAACGGCUUACCAAGGCAACGAUGCAUAGCCGACCUGAGAGGGUGAUCGGCCACACUGGAACUGAGACACGGUCCAGACUCCUACGGGAGGCAGCAGUAGGGAAUCUUCCGCAAUGGGCGAAAGCCUGACGGAGCAACGCCGCGUGAGUGAUGAAGGUCUUCGGAUCGUAAAACUCUGUUAUUAGGGAAGAACAUAUGUGUAAGUAACUGUGCACAUCUUGACGGUACCUAAUCAGAAAGCCACGGCUAACUACGUGCCAGCAGCCGCGGUAAUACGUAGGUGGCAAGCGUUAUCCGGAAUUAUUGGGCGUAAAGCGCGCGUAGGCGGUUUUUUAAGUCUGAUGUGAAAGCCCACGGCUCAACCGUGGAGGGUCAUUGGAAACUGGAAAACUUGAGUGCAGAAGAGGAAAGUGGAAUUCCAUGUGUAGCGGUGAAAUGCGCAGAGAUAUGGAGGAACACCAGUGGCGAAGGCGACUUUCUGGUCUGUAACUGACGCUGAUGUGCGAAAGCGUGGGGAUCAAACAGGAUUAGAUACCCUGGUAGUCCACGCCGUAAACGAUGAGUGCUAAGUGUUAGGGGGUUUCCGCCCCUUAGUGCUGCAGCUAACGCAUUAAGCACUCCGCCUGGGGAGUACGACCGCAAGGUUGAAACUCAAAGGAAUUGACGGGGACCCGCACAAGCGGUGGAGCAUGUGGUUUAAUUCGAAGCAACGCGAAGAACCUUACCAAAUCUUGACAUCCUUUGACAACUCUAGAGAUAGAGCYUUCCCCUUCGGGGGACAAAGUGACAGGUGGUGCAUGGUUGUCGUCAGCUCGUGUCGUGAGAUGUUGGGUUAAGUCCCGCAACGAGCGCAACCCUUAAGCUUAGUUGCCAUCAUUAAGUUGGGCACUCUAAGUUGACUGCCGGUGACAAACCGGAGGAAGGUGGGGAUGACGUCAAAUCAUCAUGCCCCUUAUGAUUUGGGCUACACACGUGCUACAAUGGACAAUACAAAGGGCAGCGAAACCGCGAGGUCAAGCAAAUCCCAUAAAGUUGUUCUCAGUUCGGAUUGUAGUCUGCAACUCGACUACAUGAAGCUGGAAUCGCUAGUAAUCGUAGAUCAGCAUGCUACGGUGAAUACGUUCCCGGGUCUUGUACACACCGCCCGUCACACCACGAGAGUUUGUAACACCCGAAGCCGGUGGAGUAACCUUUUAGGAGCUAGCCGUCGAAGGUGGGACAAAUGAUUGGGGUGAAGUCGUAACAAGGUAGCCGUAUCGGAAGGUGCGGCUGGAUCACCUCCUUUCU